GGCAUAAACAAAAUAAUAAAGUCAAACAACCUCCAGGCCGUUACACGCAUUGCGAGGACAGGAAGCCCAAUCACGAAAGUAACUUUAACACUUCUCGAUCCACGAAAGCUGAAAAACAAACUGGGAUUAGAUACCCCACUAUG
rnacentral:rRNA from 1 species